GAAUUUCAAGACGACGACGGAUCUUGACAGCGUAGAUAUUAUCUAUGAUUCAGAGCUCUUCUUAGUCGAUGAUGAUGAUGAUGAUGAGGAUCUCAUGGAAGAGGAAUCCACUUAUUACUCUGAUUCUUGGAAGAUCCGGACAUGUUUUAGGCAUACCUCUUGGAACCAUUGGCGCAAGGGGCACACCGUUCAUGUUGAUGACAUCUUGGUCAAUUACCCAAGGCAUUAUAUGAUGUUGCCUGAGCUGUGGGAUGCUGACAUUGGAAGAUACACACUGAGGAACCUGAGAAUUUGUUGCCCGGCCCUUAGCAUUGAUGGUAGUGAUGUGGUCUACCUUAUUUGUAAGGUCGGGGCUUAUGAUACGAAGAAAUGGAUUGUUGGUGUCGACCUUGGAAAGAAGACAGUUGAAGAACUUGAACAAUUUUCUGCUGGGAGAUACAGUUUGUACCAGAAGGCCUUCCUUGCCUUUGCAUUCUCCAGAUAUCUGAAUGCUACAAGGCAUGUUUUUUUUUCUUCGUCUCUCUUGAUAUAUGUUUGUUCCAUGAAUCUUUGUGCACCAUGUUACAGACUUGCCAAACUAACUGUGUAUUUUCCAUAGUCCCCACAUUAUUUUACCUGAUGGCAUCUGACAUCUUUGCUCUCUUGUUAUUUGGUUAAGGUCAUGUGCGCCGGAAGACAGUUCUGGCCGGAAUUUUCUGCCAAAUGAUCAUCAUAUGACAGGAUAUAUUAUUCAAAACAAUCUGGUAAGCAGUAUCUUUCAGUUGUGUAUGCGUCCAUUUUUCAUCUGUAUUCAGAAAGAUUUUACUAUGUCUCUAUGGUGACCCCAGCAGAACACGCAGACUGUAAGUGGCUACUAUAGUGAACAUGGUCAUGCUACGCCCCCAGGCUUCAACAACUACCCAAUCCAGCCACAGUUCGUUGUACACCCGUGCUCUUUUCCACGAAGCCUGCAGCCCAAUUUGACAUCGUCGGCAUUAGGUAAGAACAUUAUCCAUGCUUGUGACAUGGUGCUGUCCUUUUCAUUUACCCAUUCUUUUUAAUAUUUAACCCUAAAUAUUGCAAGUUAUUAAACAGUAGUAUUUGUUGUCAUUUAAAAGCUUGUGCAAAAGAUUUACCCAUCAUAGUGCCAUGCUUUAUAUGGAGUAUAUCUUCCAGAUUUACCAUUAAGAUACUAGGUUGGUUGAAAUUUCAUGUAUAUCAAAUGUUUCACGCUCUUGUUGUCGAGACUUGAACUUUGACAGAACGUCAUGAGAUAUAUAAAUACAUGAAAAGAUUGUGUGCUAUGAUAAAUGACCAUUUUUUCAAGUUGUGACUUAGGUAGCUCUCUUCACCAGUCAAAUCUGGAAGUAAUUAUACAAGAGACAAAUGACAAAAACUGCAUCAUCUUAUAAAAAAAGAAAAAAUAAAUGAAAUAACUACAUGUGUCAAAAAUUGGCUUUUGACAUGCCAAAUAAACAAUAGAAGCCAUCAAAUGAACUAAAAAAAAAUCAUUGGGAAUUGCAAAAACUAUUGCACUUAAGAAAAUAUAACUUACGAAAAGUUUGUUUCAGCUUCUCUUGAAAGGGAAGGCAGGAGAGAGUACUAAUUUGGAACUCUAAAUAAAGUCCUUGUAGAAAAGACGAAAAUUAGCUCAUUCUGCAAAAGCAUUGAAAAAUGAGGAUCCUUAACAGGUUACUACCGCUAAUUAUUUAAAAUUAUCAUUAUCUUCCAAUGCAUUAUUUUAUUAAUUAAAAUUGUGUGUCAAUUAAUUUGGUUAUAUUGAAUAUGUAAUAUGCAUUUUGACUUAACAUUGCUUUGCUGAAGGAUAUGUUCAUCCUGUAAGCGCCGAGUCGAUGUACCCAGUGAUGAACACUGACCCCCACGGCCAAGUAUGGAUCUCAAGGCCGCUGGAGAAUAACCGCUUCCUAUCUCAGAUGCCAGCGCCCCCGGCUGUGCCCUUCAAUACACAGAUGCAUUUGCCACUAGAUGGCCGCUUCAUGUCACAGCUGCCUCCGAUGCGACCAUCCCUGGCUGUGCCCUUCAACGGACCAAUGAAUCAGGUGUGGAUGCAACCAUCCACAUACGUACCCUUUACCCAACCCCAGCUGUUCCUGCCUCCUGCAUAAUUUGCAGAUUUGUAGAGUAUUGACAUGUAAUUUAACUAAGUUCUCUCUCAUGCAAGUUAUUUAAGGAAUAUCUCGAUGUUGUACUGCCGUGUUAACAAGAACAGAGAGUUUGUUUAUCAUGGUUGUGUUUCGUGGUAGGAGGUGUUAAUGUUUCAUGUUUCGUAGUAGGAGCUGUUAAUGUUUCAUGUUUCGUAGUAGGAGCUGUUUGGGUUCCUUCAUGUCCACACUAGAAGUGCUGCUAGCGUAAUUUGUCCUUCCACUUGUUAGUGUUGGUCCGUCUGCUAUUGUACCGCAGGAGAUGCAAUCUUCAGCGAGCGUAUAGUGCUACUCCCCUUCCAUCAAAGAGGGACUAGAACCGCCAUCUUCAGCGAGCAGCACACGGCACACCCGCCCCACUGCAGCCCGCAUGUAGAGCCUCUGGAAUCGUUCAUGCAGUGAGGUCCUGUGGACAACACCGACGCUGCCCUGUAGACUGUAGUGCCUUUCGUAUGGUCCUUGCCGUGAAGUCCUUUGAACAAUGAUCGUUCUCGUCGUCGUCGAGAUUUACGACCAAGCUCCAUCAAGCCUGCAACCUCCCAUGAGCUCCGGUACAUACAGAGGCUCCUACUCCCUCUCGUCCAAAGUGGCGGCAGUGCGCGGCGACAUACAGCGGUCCGUCCCCGUCUCCUGCCUGCCUCUCCUACCUAGAAUGUUGCCUCUCUAUGAUACUCAUCUGGUUUCUUUAUCCGUGAACGUAACACAUGCUGGUUUGUAUUCCCAUCUGAAAUUCUUCCGCCGUUGUUAUCCAAGAUCAUCGACUUCAGUGGAUGAAAAGGCAUCUAUAAGAGAGAAUUUAGCCCACUAGGAAGAAAGAAAGCCCAAAAAUAUCAAGGAACAUCGUCUGGUCCCGAAACAAGCUUGCUGAGACCCUCUCCUGGGGUUGAUUCUCUCAACCCUCCUAUUGACAAUAAAUAGCUCAUUGCGGCUGUUUCGUAAAAAAAAAGAGACAUGUAUAAGACCACUUACAUUUCUUAAUUUGUUUUAGAAAGUGUUAAGUCUUCCCUUACUUAUUAUUAUGAUUUUGCUAUUUCUUAGGCGACUGAAAAAUAACUAUUUCUUAGUCGACGAUAACAACAUUUUGAUUCAAUCAUUGAGAUUCGUGUAAGAUCAAUGUAUGUCCGAUGGAUAGGAAAAUCUUCAUUAGAUGGCUACGAUUGUCAACUGAGAAAUAACUAUUUCUUAGACGACUGAGAAAUAGACACUUCCUUAUUAUUAUGUCUACUCUUGAGUGGAUGAAUCAAUUUUUGAUAGGCAUUCAUAAGCCACACAAAUAUUUAUGAUUUUGAUUGAUAUUUUUAUGCAUGAGUUCAUUAUUCCAUAGAAAUACAUGGUCACAGUACUAUUCUUCCUACAACUGAGGGUGUAUACAACAUUACAACCACCCAUAUAGAUGAAUCUUGAUUUUAUUGUCCAAAGAUCACCAUUUCAAAGGAAGCAGGGAUUCGGGAUUUUGUUACUAAACUUCAACCCAUAUAUUGGCUUGACGUCAUUGUGUCAGAUUUGUUCCACGUUAGAUGAUUCAUUGUUUAGGCAGCUUUUUAUCUCUACUUAAAAUGUUUGAUUCUGAUUGGCCCAUAUUUUUCUAUAUCUAAAUAGAAGAUCUCAUUGUCUGAUUUUUCUCAACAUACAAGCAGGCUACCUCAGUAAGCCCACCACAUAGCCACGUCAACGCAUUUAUUUUCAAAUGCAAGCCAUUUGAGUUCCCUAGUAGUCUACUGUACGGUGACAAAUAACAGAUGUACCAUUGAAUUCUCCUCACAACGACCAAAGCUCUAAAUUCAAUUAUAAAUAGAGGUAGUUGCACCACUGGUCGGACUACUUGAGAGGUGUGAUCAUUUUAGUCCAACUUGGGAAAACUAGUUCUAAACCUUUGAUGAUGUGCCAAUUAGUCUGAACUGGACACGUGACGGCAACCUACAAUUUCAUCGGAGCGGGGGGGAUUUCACAAAAAGCCCCUUGGGCUGUAACAAUCACACGUAGGUCUCCCGGUAACAUAGGCAAAGUGACUCAAUGUAAAUUUGACAAUAAACCCCUUUCAGGUAUCUCUACAACUCCACCCAAACACAUCAUAUUUGAGACCAUUAAAUUACUAGAUGAAACAAGAUUAAGCCUACUGAGAACCCUAUCUAAAACCCCACCAAAAUGAUCCAAAAUUGAAACGAUGUGAGGCGAAAAAGGAGCUUAACACAUACUGUGGUGAUCCAUCAUCCUACCGAGAGCCAUGGCUCGGGCGGCAUCCUCACAAAAUAGUUGCCGACGAGGUGUGAUCGGCCGCCGCGUCGUCGUUGAAGCGCCAAGAAAUUGCCUGGGUGGAAGGGUAGACGAAGAUGUGUUUGGGUGGAGAUGAAGAGGUAACUGAAUCUCCCACCAUGAUUUCAUAUGAUGGGAGAUUAACUGUUGUCAAAGCUGUUAUCAAUGCCAUUCCCACAUAUGCAAUGUGUGCAAACAUGCUUCCAUUAACUAUCAGAUUUCUUUGGAGUGGUAAAGACAUCAAUAAGCGUGGUAAAUGUCUGGUUAAAUGGGAAAAGGUAUGUCGACCUAAAACUGCUGGUGGACUCGGUAUCUGAGAUAUGAGAACUCAGAACAGAGCACUUAUCAUGAAGAAUUUGCACAAUUUUUUCAAUAAACAUAACAUUCCGUGGGUUAAACUUAUUUGGAAUGCCUACUACCACAAUGAUACAUUUCCUGGUAAUAUCAUUGGUUCAUUUUGGUGGAAGGAUUGCCUCAAGCUGAUGGAUUUAUACAAAUAGCUCAGUGUAUUGUCUCAAGUGGCAACUCUGUUUCUCUCUGGCAUGAUAACCAAAGCCUGAAUUCAACUUGCGCGGGGAAGGUGGCCCGCAACAAAUCCGUGAUGCCACUUGUUGUAAUGGUGUUAUCAAGUUUGUUGAGAUAGAGCAUAAUGAGACACUUGUUACUGUUGAGAGGAAUAAGAAGUUGAAUUUCAAGACGACGACGGAUCUUGACAGCGUAGAUAUUAUCUAUGAUUCAGAGCUCUUCUUAGUCGAUGAUGAUGAGGAUCUCAUGGAAGAGGAAUCCACUUAUUACUCUGAUUCUUGGAAGAUCCAGACAUGUUUUAGGCAUACCUCUUGGAACCAUUGGCGCAAGGGGCACACCGUUCAUGUUGAUGACAUCUUGGACAAUUACCCAAAGCAUUAUAUGAUGUUGCGUGAGCUGUGGGAUGCUGACAUUGGAAGAUACACACUGAGGAACCUGAGAACUUGUUGCCCGGCCCUUAGCAUUGAUGGUAGUGAUGUGGUAUACCUUAUUUGUAAGGUCGGGGCUUAUGAUACGAAGAAAUGGAUUGUUGGUGUCGACCUUGGAAAGAAGACAGUUGAAGUACUUGAACAAUUUUCUGCUGGGAGAUACAGUUUGUACCAGAAGGCAUUCCUUGCCUUUGCAUUCUCCAGAUAUCUGAAUGCU
rnacentral:lncRNA from 1 species